rfam:TPA: Bos taurus chromosome 29, whole genome shotgun sequence.
UCCCUGGUGGCUCAGAUGAUAAAGAACCUGCCUGCAAUGCAGGAGGACCCAGGUUCAAUCCUUGGGUGGGGAG